UUCCCUGUGAAGUGGCACAUCAUUAAGAAUGUGCCGAACACUUCACUGAGGCACGUAACACUCGAGAACAAUGAGAACAAGCCUGUUACUAAUAGUAGGGACACCCAAGAGGUUAAUUUUGAGCAGGGUCUCAAAAUCUUUAAAGAUCAUUCCAGUAAGACAUGCAUUCUCGAAGAUUUCGAAUUCUACGAGGCUCGUCAAAGGAUAAUCCAAGAGAAAAGGCUAAGCAUCAGGUGUCGCAGAAAUAGGUUUUGAGUGGGGAGCCUAAUGAUGAUGCUGUAACCGAUAACAAAGAAAAUACAGCAAUGACAAACAAGAACUUG